CUCGGUUGAUCCUGCCGGACCCGACUGCUAUCAGAGUGGGACUAAGCCAUGCGAGUCAACAUAGCAAUAUGUGGCAUACGGCUCAGUAACACGUAGUCAACAUGCCCAGGGGACGUGGAUAACCUCGGGAAACUGAGGAUAAACCGCGAUAGGUCAUCACUUCUGGAAUGGGUAAUGACUUAAAUCUAUAUGGCCCCUGGAUUGGACUGCGGCCGAUCAGGCUGUUGGUGAGGUAAUGGCCCACCAAACCUGUAACCGGUACGGGCUCUGAGAGGAGGAGCCCGGAGAUGGGCACUGAGACAAGGGCCCAGGCCCUAUGGGGCGCAGCAGGCGCGAAACCUCUGCAAUAGGCGAAAGCUUGACAGGGUUACUCUGAGUGAUUUCCGUUAAGGAGAUCUUUUGGCACCUCUAAAAAUGGUGCAGAAUAAGGGGUGGGCAAGUCUGGUAUCGGCCGCCGCGGUAAUACCAGCACCCCGAGUGGUCGGGACGUUUAUUGGGCCUAAAGCAUCCGUAGCCGGUUCUACAAGUCUUCCGUUAAAUCCACCUGCUUAACAGAUGGGCUGCGGAAGAUACUAUAGAGCUAGGAGGCGGGAGAGGCAAGCGGUACUCGAUGGGUAGGGGUAAAAUCCGUUGAUCCAUUGAAGACCACCAGUGGCGAAGGCGGCUUGCCAGAACGCGCUCGACGGUGAGGGAUGAAAGCUGGGGGAGCAAACCGGAUUAGAUACCCGGGUAGUCCCAGCUGUAAACGAUGCAGACUCGGUGAUGAGUUGGCUUAUUGCUAACUCAGUGCCGCAGGGAAGCCGUUAAGUUUGCCGCCUGGGGAGUACGGUCGCAAGACUGAAACUUAAAGGAAUUGGCGGGGGAGCA
rnacentral:rRNA from 1 species